rnacentral:rRNA from 1 species
AAGUCGUAACAAGGUCUCCGUUGGUGAACCAGCGGAGGGAUCAUUACCGAGUUUACAACUCCCAAACCCAAUGUGAACGUUACCAAACUGUUGCCUCGGCGGGAUCUCUGCCCCGGGUGCGUCGCAGCCCCGGACCAAGGCGCCCGCCGGAGGACCAACCUAAAACUCUUAUUGUAUACCCCCUCGCGGGUUUUUUUAUAAUCUGAGCCUUCUCGGCGCCUCUCGUAGGCGUUUCGAAAAUGAAUCAAAACUUUCAACAACGGAUCUCUUGGUUCUGGCAUCGAUGAAGAACGCAGCGAAAUGCGAUAAGUAAUGUGAAUUGCAGAAUUCAGUGAAUCAUCGAAUCUUUGAACGCACAUUGCGCCCGCCAGUAUUCUGGCGGGCAUGCCUGUCCGAGCGUCAUUUCAACCCUCGAACCCCUCCGGGGGGUCGGCGUUGGGGAUCGGCCCUCCCUUAGCGGGUGGCCGUCUCCGAAAUACAGUGGCGGUCUCGCCGCAGCCUCUCCUGCGCAGUAGUUUGCACACUCGCAUCGGGAGCGCGGCGCGUCCACAGCCGUUAAACACCCAACUUCUGAAAUGUUGACCUCGGAUCAGGUAGGAAUACCCGCUGAACUUAA